GGUCGCUGCCGCCUAUGUAAUUUGCCAUGUGGUCGUGAUGGUUAUUUGCCCGAUUAUAACGAUUGCCCUAUAUGUCUAUGUAGAAGAUUAUACAAAUCCAGUCGCUGUAAACCAAUGGGGCGAUUUUGCUUACCAAAAUGCCAAAAAUAUAUUAACCAAUGUCCGCAUUGCGUCUGCUAAAAAGAAAG